AUAUUGAAAAAGAACACAACACAUUGUUUAAAGGAGGAAAAUAAUUAACAGAUUUAAAAGGGAGAUAUAGUGGCAACUUGCAAAGUCAUUGUCACCUUCUUUAAACUUUUUCGGAUAUACAUAACUUGUGAAAUAUCCACAGGACUGUUUAGUCGGACGACAAUUUGCUUACAAGUAACUUCAAUUGAUACAUAAUAUUACAUUUCGUACAGUUCAAGAUGUUUUACUGGGGGACACUUGUCAUAUUUGGAUGUUUAAUUCAUGUUUCUUCACUUGAAGAACCAAUUCACAGUAGAUGUGGGGAAGAUUACAACAUCCUAAAAAAGUUUAUCGAACUUGAGGAAGAAGUUAAAAACCUUAAGACUAACCUAAAGGAAUAUAGCAGCGCGAAUGAAAAAUGCAAGAAUGUAGCAUUUUGAGCCCAACUGACGAAGAGCCUUGGAUCUGUCACACUUGGACAAAAGAUUGUUUAUGACAGUGUUGAACUUAAUAAUGGUAAAGCGUUCCACCCAUUCCAUGGCGUGUUUACUGCUCCGUGUGAUGGGAUGUACCUCUUUUCAAUCACGAUCGGGAAUGUAGGUAAACAGGGAGUGAUUCAUCUGAAGAAAAAUGACGAAACUAUCGAAUAUGCAUGGGCUGGUUACAACAAAGGUUGGGAUAUGGCAGGUGUUACGACUGUGGCUAAACUUAACGCUGGUGAUGACGUGUGGAUAGAGGGAAGAGGAAUUAUUGGUGGUGCAAAAUCUCACGAUGGGAUUGGUGUUGUAAAACACACUGGCUUCGCAGGAGCGUUAAUAAAUGCACUGUAAUUCGCCGUUUUCUAGAAAGCAUUAAUAUGAUGACUGUAACGACAAACCAUGUGUAAAAAAAGUCUUUAGAUUUGUGUAACAAUUUUAGAUGAUAAUAAAUAAUUGCAGUUGAA